GACGAACGCUGGCGGCGUGCUUGACACAUGCAAGUCGAACGGAAAGGCCUGCUUUCCCUUGUGGAUUGCGGGUACUCGAGUGGCGAACGGGUGAGUAACACGUGAGUGAUCUGCCCCCAACUUGGGUAUAAGCCUGGGAAACUGGGUCUAAUUCCCGAUAGGACUGCAGGGUGGUGCCUGUGGUGGAAAACGAUUUUCUAGUGGUUGGGGAUGAGCUCGCGGCCUAUCAGCUUGUUGGUGGGGUAAUGGCCUACCAAGGCGGCGACGGGUAGCCGGCCUGGGAGGGUGGACGGCCACAUCGGGACUGAGAUACGGCCCAGACUCCUACGGGAGGCAGCAGUGGGGAAUAUUGCACAAUGGGCGGAAGCCUGAUGCAGCGACGCCGCGUGGGGGAUGACGGCCUUCGGGUUGUAAACUCCUUUCGACCGCGAGGGAGCCACCUGGUUGGAAGGGUGGUGACGGUAGUGGUAGAAGAAGCACCGGCUAACUACGUG
rnacentral:rRNA from 1 species